CGUCAACAUCCUAUGAGUGUCGCUGUUCCUCAUGGUCGUGCUGUACCACUACAUCGCCGCCAACAACCCCAAAAGUCACUAGCGAGGCGGUGGGACCCUGGGGAAAGGCCACAAGGUAGCUUAAGGAAGGGAGGCAGGAGGAGCCGCCGCCAAUGUGAAGAGGUACUACUGUGACUUCUGUGACUGUUCCUACCCUUACAGUGAUGAGGUAUACAAGAAGCACCGCACGGGGCACCACCACACCAAGCUACGCAGGGCACACUAUGAUAAGUUCAAGACACUAGAAGAAGAGAGACGGGAACGCAAGAUGCAAAUCCCAACGGCACAAAGAGAAGGACUUGAUCUCUCUGUUGACUCCUGGCUCAAGCAACGAAAAGUGCCACUCACUCAAGACCCUGACACCCUGCCUGGCCCUGCUCCUCACCCUGGCACCCCUGAACACUCCUCCCCCUUUGCCACCUGCUUUGCUAUCCCUGCCUCGCCUGCCCCCCUUCCCUCGCUCCUGUCACACCUCAAUGCUACCUUCGAAUAGUGUGCUGAGUGGGGUUGAGUGUUUCGGGGUUCAAAUGAAUGAUUUUUAUUUUUUUUAUUAUUAUUCUUUA